GUUGGGUUAGGGGUCAGCUUUAUGUUCUCCCUCACACUAUGCACGUUGCUAAGAGCAACAAGAAUGGUCUCUCUCCUCUCCAUUCAAAACAAUAGACUCAAUCAACCAUUUAACCUCACAAACCGUGAAACCGUGAAGAACACCAAAAAGAUUCAGUUGUGUCCCUUUCCCCCUCACCAUCUUCAAAAUCCGUAAGCCAAAGAAAGAUGAUAAAACCCCUAAGCACCUCCUUCUUUCCCCUCUUCUCUGGUUAAACCGAGGAUCAACAAGCAAGGAGGAUAAACUUGAGCUCUCAUCCUUCAUCCUUUUCCCCUGUGCGCACGACCAACAUCAACCAGAAGUAGGCAAUCUGAACUUGAUUUCUUGAAGCUUAGGAAGGAUAAAAGACUACUCCUUGUCCGAUUUGGGGUCCCUUGAGUGCAAGCACGGAGAUUCGUACAACCCAUGGAUUGGGGACAUGCAAGCCCAAAACCCCUAAGGAUGCCGUUUCUCCUUUCUUCUUUUAGUUGGCUGAGCCGUUAGCAUCAAGGGGAUGAAAUGCCCCCUAACUUUGUGCGUUUUCUUGGCUCCUCACGGUGUUAUGGAGUCUCCCCUCACUGCAUGCCGCUGGAAACUCAAGCCAUUGGAAAUGUGGAAAGGUUAAAGACAAUGUUCGGAGACUAGGUGGCUGUUUUCCUCAACCUUUUAGAGAGAAUGUGGUUACAUGCAAGAACGAGUGAGCCUCCCUACCUUGUGUAUUCUCUGAUUUCGACGCAUGAUAGGAUGAGUGAGUGUCAUUUUCUGUUUUAAAUUCACGGACAGUGGGAAGGUGAGGGUACUGCCUCUCGCUUGGGGGAUGCUUAUGAACCGAGUGGAGAGCGAGUUGGGUACAUGCUAGAGGUACGCAAGAUCCUAGCUAAUUGGACUGUUUGAUGAUAUUUGGUUACAAGAUUAUACGCGCAGAGGAAGAUAAAGAAGUGUUUGAUGAGUUGAUUACAGGACAGAUUAUGUUAAAAUUUUGCUAUUUGGGAACCUUGCUGUUGGUUCACUGUUUCUGUUGGUCAUGCACUGUAUAUUCGUGGUUAAUGUAAUGCUUUGUACAGGGGUUAAUUUGAUUUCGUGCUUUGAUUUUGUGGUGAAACAUGGCUGUAUUAGGAAGUUUACAUCAGUGCAUGGAAUCCUGGUAAACGUGUCUCAUGUUACUGUUAUUCGAAAAAUUCAGAUUAAACCAGUUAUGUUUUCUCGGUGUAAAGAGUGAUUCAAGUGGCUAGAAUAUGUAAGGUGAUGAUGAUUAAUUGCAGGAAGUAACUA